rnacentral:miRNA from 1 species
ACAAUGGUAGUACGGCCAUUU